rnacentral:rRNA from 1 species
AUAUUGCACAAUGGGGGGAACCCUGAUGCAGCAACGCCGCGUGAGUGAAGAAGUGAUUCGUUAUGUAAAGCUCUAUCAGCAGGGAAGAUAAUGACGGUACCUGACUAAGAAGCCCCGGAUAACUACGUGCCAGCAGCCGCGGUAAUACGUAGGGGGCAAGCGUUAUCCGGAUUUACUGGGUGUAAAGGGACCGUAGGUGGCAGGGCAAGUCAGAUGUGAAAUCCCGGGGCUCAACCCCGGUCUUGCAUUUGAAACUGUCCAGCUGGAGUGCAGGAGAGGUAAGCGGAAUUCCUAGUGUAGCGGUGAAAUGCGUAGAUAUUAGGAGGAACACCAGUGGCGAAGGCGGCUUACUGGACUGUAACUGACACUGAGGCUCGAAAGCGUGGGGAGCAAAC